GAUGAACGCUAGCUACAGGCUUAACACAUGCAAGUCGAGGGGAAACGAUAGAGAAAGCUUGCUUUUUCUAGGCGUCGACCGGCGCACGGGUGAGUAACGCGUAUCCAACCUGCCCAUCACUUGGGGAUAACCUUGCGAAAGUAAGACUAAUACCCAAUGACGUCUCUAGAAGACAUCUGAAAGAGAUUAAAGAUUUAUCGGUGAUGGAUGGGGAUGCGUCUGAUUAGCUUGUUGGCGGGGUAACGGCCCACCAAGGCGACGAUCAGUAGGGGUUCUGAGAGGAAGGUCCCCCCACAUUGGAACUGAGACACGGUCCAAACUCCUACGGGAGGCAGCAGUGAGGAAUAUUGGUCAAUGGACGAGAGUCUGAACCAGCCAAGUAGCGUGCAGGAUGACGGCCCUAUGGGUUGUAAACUGCUUUUAUAAGGGAAUAAAGUGAGUCUCGUGAGACUUUUUGCAUGUACCUUAUGAAUAAGGACCGGCUAAUUCCGUGCCAGCAGCCG
rnacentral:rRNA from 1 species